rnacentral:tRNA from 1 species
CGGGCAGUAGCUCAGUCGUAGAGCCUAAGCUUUAUAUGUGGUAAGACCUGGGUUCGAUUCCCGGCUGCUUCC